rnacentral:rRNA from 1 species
AUACGGAGGAUGCAAGCGUUAUCCGGAUUUAUUGGGUUUAAAGGGUGCGUAGGCGGAUGAUUAAGCGUGAGGUGAAAUGCCACUGCUCAACAGUGGAACUGCCUCGCGAACUGGUUGUCUUGAAUGCUCCUGCCGUGGGAGGAAUGUGGGGAGUAGCGGUGAAAUGCAUAGAGAUCACACAGAACACCGAUUGCGAAGGCAUCUCACGAAGGGGUAAUUGACGCUGAGGCACGAAAGCGUGGGGAUCAAACAGGAUUAGAUACCCUGGUAGUCCACGCAGUAAACGAUGAUAACUAACCGCUGGGUCGUAGUGAUUCAGUGGCCAAGCGAAAGCGAUAAGUUAUCCACCUGGGGAGUACGACCGCAAGGUUGAAACUCAAAUGAAUUGACGGGG